rnacentral:rRNA from 1 species
UACGUAGGGGGCGAGCGUUGUCCGGAAUCAUUGGGCGUAAAGAGCGUGUAGGUGGCUUGGAAAGUCUCACGUGAAAGCCUGCGGCUCAACCGCAGAAGUGCGUGGGAAACUGCCUCGCUAGAGUCCGGAAGAGGAGAGCGGAAUUCCUGGUGUAGCGGUGGAAUGCGCAGAUAUCAGGAGGAACACCGAUGGCGAAGGCAAUCCCCUGGGCCUGCACUGACGCUCAUGCACGAAAGCGUGGGGAGCAAACAGG